rnacentral:rRNA from 1 species
GAUGAAUGCUGGCGGCGUGCUUAACACAUGCAAGUCGAGCGGCAGCGCGAGUAGUUUACUACUUGGCGGCGAGCGGCGGACGGCUGAGUAACGCGUGGGAACAUGCCCUAAAGUGAGGAAUAACUGCCCGAAAGGGUGGCUAAUGCCGCAUAUGAUCUUCGGAUUAAAGGAUUUAUCCGCUUUAGGAGUGGCCUGCGUAUGAUUAGGUAGUUGGUGAGGUAAUGGCUCACCAAGCCGACGAUCAUUAGCUGGUCUGAGAGGAUGACCAGCCAGACUGGAGCUGAGACACGGUCCAGACUCCUACGGGAGGCAGCAGUGAGGAAUAUUCCACAAUGGGCGAAAGCCUGAUGGAGCAACGCCGCGUGAAGGAUGAAGGCCCUCGGGUUGUAAACUUCUUUUAUGAGUGAAGAAUAUGACGGUAACUCAUGAAUAAGCACCGGCUAACUACGUGCCAGCCGCCGCUGUAACAC